ensembl:snRNA U1 U1 spliceosomal RNA
AGACUUACAGGGUGGAGUGUGUCCCGUGCUCACAGAGUGCUUUUUCUAGGGUGCAUCUUGCCCAUUGCACUCUGAACAUGCUGACCCCUGUAAUUUCUCCAAGUGUGGGAAACCCAACCCCAUCAUUUGUGCUCCUGGGGGACUGUUUGCACUCUAUCCUG